rnacentral:rRNA from 1 species
UUGGGAAUAUUGGACAAUGGGGGCAACCCUGAUCCAGCCAUGCCGCGUGCGUGAAGAAGGCCUUAGGGUUGUAAAGCGCUUUCAGCGGGGACGAUGAUGACGGUACCCGCAGAAGAAGCCCCGGCUAACUCCGUGCCAGCAGCGGGGGUAAUACGGAGGGGGCAAGCGUUGUUCGGAAUUACUGGGCGUAAAGGGCGCGUAGGCGGCACAUCAAGUCAGAGGUUGAAGCCCCGGGCUCAACCUGGGAACUGCCUUUGAAACUGAUGAGCUAGAGUCCGGAAGAGGAUAGCGGAAUUCCCAGUGUAGAGGUGAAAUUCGUAGAUAUUGGGAAGAACACCAGUGGCGAAGGCGGCUAUCUGGUCCGGUACUGACGCUGAGGCGCGAAAGCGUGGAGAGCAAACAGGAUUAGAUACCCGCGUAGUCC